rnacentral:rRNA from 1 species
UACGGAGGGUGCAAGCGUUGUUCGGAUUUAUUGGGCGUAAAGCGCGUGUAGGCGGUUUCUUAAGUCUGAUGUGAAAGCCCUGGGCUCAACCCCAGGAAGUGCAUUGGAUACUGGGGAGACUUGAAUACGGGAGAGGGUAGUGGAAUUCCUAGUGUAGGAGUGAAAAUCCGUAGAUAUUAGGAGGAACACCGGUGGCGAAGGCGGCUAC